UACGUAGGUCCCAAGCGUUAUCCGGAUUUACUGGGCGUAAAGUGUCCGUAGCCCGGUAUAUAAGUCUGUUUUCAAAUACCACGACUCAAUCGUGGAAAGGGAAUAGAUACUGUAUACCUAGAGAAUAUUGGAGGUUAGUGGAAUUUCCGGUGGAGCGGUGAAAUGCGUUGAUAUCGGAAAGAACGCCGAAAGCGAAAGCAGCUAACUAUGAUUAUUCUGACGGUGAUGGACGACAGCUUGAGUAGCAAACGGG
rnacentral:rRNA from 1 species